CUUGAACGCUGGCGGCAGGCCUAACACAUGCAAGUCGAACGCGUGGCGGACGGGUGAGUAAUGUCUGGGAAACUGCCUGAUGGAGGGGGAUAACUACUGAAAACGGUAGCUAAUACCGCAUACCAUCAGAUGUUCCCCGCUGGGAUUAGCUAGUUGGUGGGGUAACGGCUGACCAAGGCGACGAGCCCUAGCUGGUCUGAGAGGAUGACCAGCCACAAGGGAACUGAGACACGGUCCAGACUACGACGGGAGGCAGCAGGGGGGAAUAUUGCACAAUGGGCGAAAGCCUGAUGCAGUAAUGCCGCGUGUAUGAAGAAGGCCUUCGGGUUGUAAAGUACUGGAAGCGGGGAGGCGUUACCCGAAGAAGAAGCACCGGCUAACUCCGUGCCAGCAGCCGCGGUAAUAC
rnacentral:rRNA from 1 species